rnacentral:rRNA from 1 species
CGGUCGGCGGGCUAUAGUUCGCUAUGGCCCGUGUCUGAAUCCGUGUCUUUUGCGUACUACAUGUUUCCUCGGCGGGCCUUUCCGCCGGCUGGACCCCUUAUAACCCUCUGCAAUUGCAAUCAGCGUCUGAACAAUUAUAAAUAAUUACAACUUUCAACAACGGAUCUCUUGGUUCUGGCAUCGAUGAAGAACGCAGCGAAAUGCGAUAAGUAGUGUGAAUUGCAGAAUUCAGUGAAUCAUCGAAUCUUUGAACGCACAUUGCGCCCCUUGGUAUUCCGAGGGGCAUGCCUGUUCGAGCGUCAUUUGUACCCUCAAGCUUUGCUUGGUGUUGGGUGUUUGUCCUUUCCAUGUGUUUGGACUCGCCUUAAAGUCAUUGGCAGCCGGUGUAAUGGCCUGGGAGCGCAGCACAUUUGGCGGUUCUGGUCACCUCACUCAGCAUCCAUGAAGCCUCUUUAUCACUUUUGACCUCGGAUCAGGUAGGGAUACCCGCUGAACUUAAGCAUAUCAAUAAGCGGAGGAAAAGAAACCAACAGGGAUUGCCCUUGUAACGGCGAGUGAAGCGGCAACAGCUCAAAUUUGAAAUCUGGCUCUUUCAGAGUCCGAGUUGUAAUUUGCAGAGGGCGCUUUGGCGUUGGCAGCGGUCCAAGUUCUUUGGAACAGGACGUCACAGAGGGUGAGAAUCCCGUACGUGGUCGCUAUCCUUCGCCGUGUAAAGCCCCUUCGACGAGUCGAGUUGUUUGGGAAUGCAGCUCUAAAUGGGAGGUAAAUUUCUUCUAAAGCUAAAUACUGGCCAGAGACCGAUAGCGCACAAGUAGAGUGAUCG